rnacentral:rRNA from 1 species
GGGGCGAAAGACUAAUCGAACCGUCUAGUAGCUGGUUCCCUCCGAAGUUUCCCUCAGGAUAGCUGGAGCCCGGGUGCGAGUUCUAUCGGGUAAAGCGAAUGAUUAGAGGCAUCGGGGGCGCAACGCCCUCGACCUAUUCUCAAACUUUAAAUAGGUAGGACGGCGCGGCUGCUUCGUUGAGCCGCGUCGCGGAAUCGAGAGCUCCAAGUGGGC